rnacentral:rRNA from 4 species
UAAGGUAGCUAUGCCAAGGGUGCUCCACCUGUUCCCAUUCCGAACACAGAAGUGAAAUCCCUUAAGGCCCAUGAUAGUCGGUUUCCACCGGCGAAAGUAGGUAGCUGCCCUAC